rnacentral:misc_RNA from 1 species
GCGAGUAUGGCCCUCACGGGUCUAAUCCACCAUAAACACCUUUGUGAACCAGUCAGGGGGACUCGGCCGUGGAAGCCCAGGCGAUUAGCGGAAGGGCCCUCCUUUGCAAACCCGUUUAGAAGUCUUGAAAGUACUUUUGUAUAAUCUAGUA